GACGUACGCUGCCUGGGGGCUGAACACAUUGAAGGGAAAGGCAAAGGGCCUGCUUGUGUGUGCGGCUCGAGUGGCGAAAGGGUGAGAAAGACGUGAGGAACCUGCCCUGGAACUUGGGGUAACUUCAGGAUACGGAGGUUAGUUCCGGGUGUGAGCUCCUGCUGCAUGAUAGGCGUAGGAAGGUUUCGGCGGUUGGUGAUGGACUCGCGGCUUAUCAGCUUGUUGGUGGGGUAGUGGCUUACCAAGGCUUUGACGGGUAGCCGAUGUGAGAGGGUGACCGGCCAUAUUGGGACUGAGAUACGGCCCAGAGUGGUACGGGAGGCAGCAGUCGGGCAUCUUGCCCAAUGGGCGGAAGCCUGAUGCAGCCCCGCCGCGUGCGGGAUGAGGGGCUUCGGGUCGUGGACCUGUUUCGGCUGUGACGAAUCGUGCGUGAAGGUAAUGGAUAAAGAAGCACGCGCUCGGUAUUUG
rnacentral:rRNA from 1 species